UUGAUUAUAAUAGCACUUCUGAAACAGUAAAGCAGCUAUGGGGGCAAAUAAAGGUAAAGCAAAGGGGGAAAAAACAUGGUUUACCCAUUUACCAUGGCUACCCAAAUAAGAGGAUCCGGUUACUCACACGGGCCUACCUUACUAAUUAGCUGAUGAGCUGAGUCAGGUGUGUUUAAUGAGACAGUGCUGUGGUCUGGAAAGGAACCUAGUUUUUUAAAUCCCUUCUAUUCGCCAUUUCUUGUUGUUCAGGGAGACUCUUUUGGGCUUGGCUUUAAAUACAUAAAUGACUUGGGGUCAUUCCGCUAUUUUCCAUUGGUAACAGUCUGGCAAGGAGUUAAAGAAAAAAGCCGAGGAGUAAGCCACACACAAUGGCCCAAGAUGAGUUGGCCUGUUAUGUUACAGGAGUUUGCUAAUUAGCUUCUUCCUUCCAUGAAUAAGAGUUCCACCUUAAAUACUGCAGCAGUUACAUUCUGACACCUCUCAGCGGGAAAACUCGAACAGGAAUCUGGUGAAAAGGAAGCAACUUCAGUCUCGUCCUUUUCACUGACAUUAACAUACUGUAAACAACAAUAUAUGGC
ensembl:lncRNA